rnacentral:rRNA from 1 species
AGUGGGGAAUAUUGCGCAAUGGGCGAAAGCCUGACGCAGCGACGCAGCGUGAGGGACGACGGCCUUCGGGUUGUAAACCUCUUUCAGCGGGGACGAAGCGAAAGUGACGGUACCCGCAGAAGAAGCACCGGCUAACUACGUGCCAGCAGCCGCGGUAAUACGUAGGGUGCAAGCAUUGUCCGGAUUUAUUGGGCGUAAAGAGCUCGUAGGCGGCUUGUCACGUCGGGUGUGAAAACUCGGGGCUUAACCCCGAGCCUGCACUCGAUACGGGCUAGCUAGAGUGUUGCAGGGGAGACUGGAAUUCCUGGUGUAGCGGUGAAAUGCGCAGAUAUCAGGAGGAACACCGGUGGCGAAGGCGGGUCUCUGGGCAACUACUGACGCUGAGGAGCGAAAGCGUGGGGAGCGAA